UUUUCAGCCGCCGCGGUAAUACGUAGGGUGCGAGCGUUAAUCGGAAUUACUGGGCGUAAAGUGUGCGCAGGCGGCUGAGCAAGUCGAGUGUGAAAUCCCCGGGCUUAACUUGGGAAUUGCGCUCGAAACUACUCGGCUGGAGUGUGGCAGAGGAAGGUGGAAUUCCACGUGUAGCGGUGAAAUGCGUAGAGAUGUGGAGGAACACCGAUGGCGAAGGCAGCCUUCUGGGCCAACACUGACGCUCAUGCACGAAAGCGUGGGGAGCAAACAGGAUUAGAAACCCCUGUAGUCC
rnacentral:rRNA from 1 species